rnacentral:tRNA from 1 species
GCAUCGAUGGUUCAGUGGUAGAAUGCUUGCCUGCCACGCGGGCGGCCCGGGUUCGAUUCCCGGUCGAUGCA